rnacentral:rRNA from 1 species
CCCGGUACGGUGAGUGGGGACGACUGUUGGGACCGCCUCUGCUAAAGAGGAGGAAGGAAUGGGCAACGGUAGGUCAGCAUGCCCCGAAUUAUCCGGGCUACACGCGGGCUACAAUGGUCAGGACAAUGGGUAUCGACACCGAGAGGUGGAGGCAAUCUCCUAAACCUGUCCUUAGUUCGGAUUGUGGGCUGCAACUCGCCCACAUGAAGCUGGAAUCCGUAGUAAUCGCGUUUCAAAAUAGCGCGGUGAAUAUGUCCCUGCUCCUU